UUGCGGCCAUAUCACGUUGAAUCACCGGUUCUCGUACGAUCACCGAAGUUAAGCAACGCCGAGCCUGGUCAAUACUUAGAUGCCGGCCGCUUGGAAAUACCAGGGGCCGUAA